GUCGGUUCACGGUUUUUGAAAAAUAUGAACCUAAACCAAACAGCAUAAUGACAGUUUCGGUCAUGUUCGAAGCCGGUUUCGAUUUUGAUGGAACCGGUUCCGAUUUGAUUCCGAUUCAAAACCGGAUCGUGAUCACUCUUACUUUUACCAUAAUUUUUCAAAUCACUAAUUUAGUAGUUUGAAAUAGUUUAAAAUUUUUAUAUUCCAAUUUUAUCUUUACAUAAUUUAUAAAAUUU
rnacentral:misc_RNA from 1 species